rnacentral:rRNA from 1 species
UACGUAGGGGGCGAGCGUUGUCCGGAAUGAUUGGGCGUAAAGGGCGUGUAGGCGGCAGAUUAAGUCUGGAGCGAAAGUCCUUUUUUCAAGGAAGGAAUUGCUUUGGAUACUGGUCAGCUUGAGUGCGGGAGAGGUUAUCGGAAUUCCCGGUGUAGCGGUGAAAUGCGUAGAGAUCGGGAGGAACACCAGUGGCGAAGGCGGGUAACUGGACCGCAACCGACGCUGAGGCGCGAAAGUGUGGGGAGCAAAC